rnacentral:rRNA from 1 species
AGCUGAUCAUUGGGUGUAAAGUGUGCGCAGGCGGUUUUGUAAGACAGAGGUGAAAUCCCCGGGCUCAACCUGGGAACUGCCUUUGUGACUGCAAGGCUGGAGUGCGGCAGAGGGGGAUGGAAUUCCGCGUGUAGCAGUGAAAUGCGUAGAUAUGCGGAGGAACACCGAUGGCGAAGGCAAUCCCCUGGGUCUGCACUGACGCUCAUGCACGAAAGCGUGGGGAGCAAACA